CACCAGAUGCUGCCACUUACAACAGAACAUGAGUCUCAUCCCUGUGGACUGCAGCCAGUCGAGUUCCAACUCGUUCCAUGCACCCCCAAUAGCGGACAGGGAUGGCCAAGCCUGGAGUCACUGGCAGUAAAAGCUCAGCAUCCUUGUCCUGCCUCCCAUCCUGUGCAAGAGUCCCUGGGAGCAGGACUCCACCAUUGCCUGUGGGGAGGCCCCUUGUCUUAACUGUGCAAUGCUGCGUGAAUAACGAGAUGCCCCGGGAAUGCUGCUCAGCCCUGUCUUCCAACUGUUUGAGGAAGUGACUUUUCUACUAUCCGGAGAAUUCAAAAAAUGCACUGGGACGGCCCCAGCUGCCAGCUCUGGGCUCCAGGAGGGGCAUCGUCUUACAGAUCCGGCUGGUCCCAAGGGAAGUUGGGGUACCAGCACCUGACGUGGGACUCACUUGUUUGUCUGUUUCCCCUAAAUACAUCCCUUUGGGGAAUGCGCAGGGCCCGCAGCACCGCGCUCCUUCACAAUUGAGGGAACGGGGCGGGAGGAGGAUGCUGGAGCACUGAAGUCAGAGCCAGGCUCUGGCGUCUGAGUCAUGGAUUUGCCACUUCCUCAGCCUUGUGACCUUUGGAGAAUUGCUCUUCCCUAAACCUCCCUCACAGGAUGUUUGUGAUGCUAAAGCUGGCGAAGCACACGCAGGCGCAGCAUAACACCCGGCACGUAGUGAGCCCUCUGUAAGGUCAACAGCUGCCAUCAUCACUUAAUACUGACCAGCACGAGACGGCCAAGCCAGCGGCGGCAGAGUUGGAACGCGAACCAAGGUCUUGGCAUCUUCCCUCCGCAGCGGACACUGCUCACGGCAACUCUGCCUCCUCUGAGAAGGGUAACUGGGAGCCUAAACAGCUAUGUCAUACUGGAAGUUCCAUCCACAAAGCUUCAGUUGGGACAAGCCCUGCCUUCCUUUAAAAAGCAAGGUCCCGGGCCAGGCACAGUGGCUCACACCUAUAACCCCAGCACUUUGGGAGGCUGAGGUGGGCCGAUCACUUGAGCCCAGGAGUUCAAGUCCAGCCUGGGCAACAUGAAUUGCAUCUCUUAGCCACAAAGAAAGGCGGCCUUAGAUCUAACCUAGAUGUGAAACGACAGCCCUGCAUCAGAACCACCGUCAUGGGCUCCAGAAGCAGUUCCCACUUCCUGUCUGCAAGAUCCUGGCCAAGUUGCUUCACUUCUCUGAAGCUAUUUCCUCAUCUCUAAAGUGGGGGCUCACAGAGUUGUGAGCCAGGCACAGUGGCUCAUGCCUGUAAUCCCAGCACUUUGGGAGGCCAAGGUAGGUGGAUUGCUUGAGCUCAGGAGUUGAGACCAGCCUGGGCCAAUACAACGAAACACUGUCUCCAUAAAAAAUACACAAAACUAGCCAGGCCUGGUGGCACACGCAUGUAGUCCCACCUACUCAGGAGGCUGAAUUAGGAGGACUGCUUGAGUCCGGGGAGGUGGUGUUGCAGUGAGCUGAGAUUGCACCACUGCUCUCCAGCCUGGACAACAGAGUAAGACCCUGCCUCAAUAAACAAAGAAAAUUAUAGGACCAAGAGGUCUGAGUCACAGGUUACAAAGAGAAAACAAAAAAACAAAGAGGUUGCAGUGAGCUGAGACCACACCACCGCACCCCAGCCUGGGUGACGGAGAGAGGUGCUGUCUUAAAACUAGGGUUUUGAAAAUUCAUAAGACCUGAUACUUUGAGUAUCAUAGAGGCUCAAGCCAUAAAAUGCAGUGUCGAUUGUUACUAUUUUGAUUAAUGCUGUUUGGCUUUGAGGAGGAAGUGUUUGUAGAAAAAAAAGAGGUGCCUGGACCCAACAGGAAUAUGUUGCUAGGCUGGGCAAAGGCUGCUGGGCUAUUUAUGAGGCUGGCUUAUCGGCUGUGCUGGAGUAGCUGCACUCAAACCUGGGGCCGCUGAUAACUCACUGAUCAGUGAACAGCAAUCGACCGAGUGCUGCCUCAACCGGCUCUAAGAAAUGCUCCAAGCACACUCUCCCAAAUGCUAGACUGUGAUUCGAUCAUUUCACAGAGGCUUGGGAGAUUUUUUUUUUCCCUUCCUCGGAAUUUCUGGGCUCCACCCCAGAGCGUGGUCUGGAAGGCAUUGAGGACUUGUGUUUCUGUAGUCCCCUGUGAUUCUGACGAAGCUGACCCUCCGGCUGAGCUUGUAGAAACACUAGGCAUGGCUCCAGGUUGGAGAUUAGGGCUGGACAGAUGCAGCUGCUCUGUCCUCCUGGUGGAUUCGGCCCAAUAGCUGGGGCCUCUCUGGACAACAGCUGUCGAUACUGGCAUGGGGUGGAACGCCCUGGGUAGGAGUCUUCUCCGAGGUCACCGGAUUUAUAAUUACUUGUAUUGGCGAAUCCCACAAAGGCUGAUGGGUGGGGGAUUGAUUUUCCCUAUGAGGUUGGGGGAUGGUGAUGGGGAUGGGGGUUGGGAAGGGAGAGAUUCCAACAGGUGGUCACCUCCCCAGAUGAAAUUCUUCAUCUUAUGGCUUAAGAGACUGAUUUUAUAUAGAUAGAUAGAUAGAUAGGGUCUCAUGAUGUUGCCCAGGCUGGUCUCCAACUCCUGGGCUCAAGCAAUCCUUUGGCCUCAGCCUCCCAGAUGGCCUCAGCCUCCCUCUCUCAGCUGAGACUGACUCAUUUUAAUGACAAAUAAACAAAAUCACAGCAUAUUAGCAUGAAAGAGAA